GCCAGUCUGCCUGUUUUAAAUCCUGCCUUCGCCAUUAAGUUCUAUGGCCUUAAGCAGGUUACUAAAUCUCCUUGUGCCUCAUCUGUACAAUGGGAGUACUAGAUAUAUUAAAGCACGGCUCUGGGGGUUAACACUGGCAGAGCUGUGGGAGUGCGCCUGGCCCAGUGUUAGGUGAUGGCUGCUCCUGCCUUUACUGGAUGCAUGUGUGGUGACUGGGGGAAAGGGAGAUCGGUCUACCAUCCUGUUAAUUCCCAGCCUUCUUCCAGGAGGACUUUGCCAUGCUUCUCCUCCCACCCAAGCCUCAGAACCCUUCUCCCUGCCCAUUGUGCCCUACUUGUUUCGUGAUCUCCAAUAACAUCUUGUUUUUCACACUCAGCCCUGGAGUCCCCUCUACCAGCCCUUGACUGCUGGGUCCUGGUUCCCAUGGGCUCUGAUAAGGUGUCCAUCCUAUCCUCAUAACACUUUAUUGGAUCUGUUUGUUGAGACACCUGCUUUUCCCAGUGGAUGCUAAGGUCCUGGAGGAGGUCCUUACUAGUCCCAGGGUACUGUUUUCUGGACCAGAAACUGACCACCAACGGCAUGUUCCUUGCUGCCCUAACACCUGGCCAUUGUGGACGGUCAGCAAAUGUAUUUUGGGGUCUUAGUUUCCCCAUCUAUACAGUCAACAAAUGAGGUCACCAUAGCUCUGUUACCGUGUGCUUUUAUGAUGGUAAUAGGUGUCAAGUCAGGUGUAAGUCUAGGGGACCCUCCCAGGUGGGAGGGAGAGUGCAAGAGAGUGUGUGGUUUGUGUUCAGACAGGAGACAGCCUCAGCUCCUAGCAGUGCGGAAGACUCGUUUCUCUCAUGAUCCUAGGGGAUAAAGGUGGAGGACCAUCCCACCUGUCUGAGCGACCGUGGGGGUCUGGUGUCCUGGGGCCAACGUGUUGGAGCCGUGGGAGCGAGAGGGACACUGGAGCUGACAGCAGACAGCCAGUGGGCAGCCAGCUUGCACCCCCUCGUGUCCCCGGGGUCCCUUCUUCCUGGGAAGCUGGCCACGCUUCCCGCUUAUCGACGCCCCAUCCCGCCCCUUGUCGGCAGCUAAGGUCCAGCGUCUUCUACUCUGUGGAGUCAGGUGGGAAAUCCAAGAUGAAGCACUGGAACAUUCAGUGUCUGCCUCACUCAGAGGUGGUCCGGGCUCCAAGGGUGAUGCUGCCUGGUGUCUCGGAGCCGACCCUGUCUCAGCCUCCUGACCAUCAUUCCCCUCUCCGAGGAAGAUGAAACAGUCUCAGAGGGCCCUACACAAGUCCUGCCCUGUUCUAGUUGCCACACGUGUGACCUUGGGCAAGACACUGGCCCUCUCUGGGCCUCUGUUUACUCCUCUGUAAUGAGAGGAAACAAUUCCUGCCUCUCUCA